rnacentral:rRNA from 1 species
AGUUCAGAUCGCAGUCUGCAACUCGACUGCGUGAAGUCGGAAUCGCUAGUAAUCGCGGAUCAGCAUGCCGCGGUGAAUACGUUCCCGGGCCUUGUACACACCGCCCGUCACACCAUGAGAGUCGGGAACACCCGAAGUCCGUAGCCUAACCGCAAGGGGGGCGCGGCCGAAGGUGGGUUCGAUAAUUGGGGUGAAGUCGUAACAAGGUAUC